rfam:Rattus norvegicus chromosome 12, whole genome shotgun sequence.
GGGGAUUUAGCUCAGUGGUAGAGCGCUUGCCUAGCAAACGCAAGGUCCUGGGUUCGGUCCCCAGCUCCG